GACGAACGCUGGCGGCGUGCUUAACACAUGCAAGUCGAACGGAAAGGCCCUGCUUUUGUGGGGUGCUCGAGUGGCGAACGGGUGAGUAACACGUGAGUAACCUGCCCUUGACUUUGGGAUAACUUCAGGAAACUGGGGCUAAUACCGGAUAGGAGCUCCUGCUGCAUGGUGGGGGUUGGAAAGUUUCGGCGGUUGGGGAUGGACUCGCGGCUUAUCAGCUUGUUGGUGGGGUAGUGGCUUACCAAGGCUUGGACGGGUAGCCGGCCUGAGAGGGUGACCGGCCACAUUGGGACUGCGAUACGGACCAGACUCCUACGGGAGGCAGCAGUGGGGAAUAUUGCACAAUGGGCGGAAGCCUGAUGCAGCAACGCCGCGUGCGGGAUGACGGCCUUCGGGUUGUAAACCGCUUUCGCCUGUGACGAAGCGUGAGUGACGGUAAUGAGUAAAGAAGCACCGGCUAACUACGUG
rnacentral:rRNA from 1 species